GGGAUGGGGGGGAUGGGGGGGAUGCUCUCAGUGCCCACCCAGGGGUGCUGCAGCCACCUGGCUCACGCAUCUCAUCCAGAGGAGACACAUGCGGAGCUGCUGUACCUUCCCAGGGCGGCGCGUUGCAAACUUGUUCUCCGGUCCCCGGUAAUCUGAUAUAUUUAAAUUUUCUGGUUUGGAGUUCAUUUUCAGAUCCUUAAUUGGGGAAAUAUUUUCUGGGCUGGCAGCUCGGAAUAACGGGCUGGGCGUACGUACGGUGCAGCCGCUCGCUGCCCGGCCCCGCUCUCGGCACGAGUGUCACCUCCCGCGCGUCCCUGCCCCGCGGUCCUCGCGCACGGGCGCCCACGGCAGCUUCGUUAGCGAAGCCGCUGCGGAAUUAGGCAUUCUCUGCCUAAUGAAUCUAACGAGCAGGUCCGCAUGAUGCAGGCCCUUUAAUUAAAUGGAUAGGAAGGGCUGGGGCGCCGCGCUGCUGGGCAGCCUGUGCCCGGCCGGGCCGCGGGGCUGGUGGUCCUGGCAGCCCCUCCGCGGCGUGUAACGGGACAGUCGCGGCCGGACCCAACGCGUCCCUGCGCCCUCCGUUGGCACAAACCAGCCGGGACGGCCGGUGCUGCCCAGAGCUCUGUCUGCUUGCAGGUCGCUUUGCCAGGAACUUCAUUGUAUUUUAGAGAUUUUUCUCUUUUUUCCCUCUAUUUUUGUAUUUCUUCCCCCCCACCCCGCCCCGUUUUGCCUGGCACUGGGGUGCAGGUUCCCCCGGUGCUUGGAUACCCGUCCCCAGAAAUGCUGUUUGUCCCCCCCAGAAAUGCUGUUUGUACCCCCAAGAAAUGCUGUUCAUCUCCCCGAUGCUGUUUGUCCCCCGCAAUGCUGUUUGUCCCCCCCAGAAAUGCUGUUUGUCCCCCCCGAUGCUGUUUGUCCCCUCAGAUGCUGUUUGUCCCCCCCAGAAAUGCUGUUCGUCCCCCCCGAUGCUGUUUGUCCCCCGGUCCUGGCGCGGCUCGUGUUUGUUACGGUCGCUCUGGCUCGCGGCCCGGCCCUGGCGGGUGUCCAGCCGUGCGGGUACAGUAUGUACAGUGGUUGCUGCGCCAAGCCCGUCAUCGCGCAGAUUAAUUAUUAUUUUGUAAUUUAUUUUCUCGAGCCGGGGGCGGGGAGCUCUGCCCAGUGCUCACAAACAGCCGCCGCGCAUUCCAGCGCUGGUAUUUAUUAAAGCGGAGACCUUUGCACCUCUCCCCUGGCUCCCCCGGCAGGACGCGGGGCUGUUCUCGGCACGGCGGCUCUGGACGGUGUGUUCAGCGGGGAGCAGAGCGCCGGGCUGGGACGGUGCCCCGGCGCCCCGUCCUGCGGCUGCCCCCGAUGCCAGAGGCAGCGCUCGCAGGGUCAGCGGAGGUUGGCAUCACAACCACCCCCAUCCGCACGGCUUUGGGAGGGAGCUGGUGCUAAAGGAGCUUUUACACUAAGGAACAAACUGGGGCCCAGUCCUAGGGGGUUGCGAUGUCCCCUCAGCCGUGUCCCCUCGGCCUCGAAGCCACAAGGCCUGACAGAUUUUGUUUCCUGUCGCGCGGCGGCUGCGAGCCCCCCCGGUUGCCAAGGAGCCGCCUCCCGCACCGUCACGGCCUGAUUUGGUAUUCCGCGCGGCGCCCGCCGCAUCUCUGUAUGCAAGACAAAGUGUUUUGAUGGAGGACGAUUGCGGGAGUGUCUGGAGGCUGCUCGGAGUUUUAUGGGCUGUGCAGAGCGCGGGGCUGCGCUGGCGCUGCCGAGGAGCAGCGGGGGCCGGGGGGCAUCAGAACCUGCCCUUUCCUGCUCCCCAGCUAAAAAUCUGCGUCGUUUUAUGUUUUGUCAAUGCAAAAAUGCCCCCCGGCCCCGCUCCGUCCCCCGGUCCUGCCCCAAACCGCCGCGGGCGCCCGGGAGCUGCAGCCGGAGCACCUGCCCCGAUGCCGAGACGGUGCUCGUGGGCUCGGCCGCGUCACCCCAACCCGCCCGGUCCCCCGUCCCCUCUCCCGGCGGGAGGAGGCCCCGUGGUCCCCCCUCAGCCGUUUUAUCUUGUGCUGGGUUGUGGCCUUUCGGUGGCACUUCGGGAGGCGAGGGGGCGAAGGCGUUUGCCUCGCUCGCCCCGAGCUCUGCGGCUCCGGCGUUUCGGCCUUUCUUGGUCUCUGUGAUGUGUUUUCAGCACAGAGAUUUUCACGACUGUCUCUUCCGCUCGGGUGAAGCAGCGGAGAAGGGAAAUAGCGAUAAUAAUAAUAACGGCAAUAAUAAAAAUCAAAAAGCAGCUUGAUGUGGGCAAAAAGAAGAAAACAAGAGAAUGGGGUAGAGAACAGGCUAAAUUUAAAAUUGUAAUUGGCUGACUUCCACAGGCUUGCGGGUGUUUUAAUGACUCAUAAUAACUUCAUUUAAAACCAGCUGAGCAGAAAAUAGAUUGGAGAGGAGCCUCGGGCCAUUAUGGAUUUGUGUUUUUGACAAGCGCUGUUUUCGGCAGCCGGGCGGGCGCUGGCGGCCGGCGGCUCCGCUCCGCGCCGCGGCUCUGCCGCGGAGCUGCUGCGCAACCGGCGUGGCUCUUCUUCUUCCGAUUAAAAAUAGCUGCCCGAGGUAUUAUUUUAGCAUCAGUGUGGUUUGGUGCUUUUUUCUUUGCACUUUUGAUGUGGUAAAUGGAACAUAAAUAAAAUUGUUUUUGAAAUUACUGAAUUAAUUAGGUAGUAAAGCGACGACAGUGCAUAAAUUUA